AUGAGGCUCUCUGCUCAGCUCCCGUGGCUAUGGAUGCUCUGGGUGCCUGGAUCCAGUGGGGAUAUUGUGAUGACCCAGACUCCACUUUCCCUGCCUGUCAUCCCUGGAGAGCCGGCUUCCAUCUCCUGCAGGUCUAGUCAGAGCCUCCUGCAUAGUGAUGGAUACACCUAUUUGCACUGGUACCUGCAGAAGCCAGGCCAGUCUCCACAGCUCCUGAUCUAUUUGGGUUCCAACUGCGCCUCUGGAGUCCCUGACAGGUUCAGUGGCAGUGGGUCCGGCACUGAUUUCACACUGAAAAUCAGCAGAGUAGAGGCUGAGGAUAUUGGCAUUUAUUACCGCAUGCAAAAUCUACAAAUUCCUUCCACAGUGCUACAUCCUCAAAAAGAAACCUCCCUGCUGGGGUUGCCCAGCUGCCCACAUGCACUUCUUUUCUGGGUAGGAGCUCAGCUGGGUCUCUGCGUUUGCAGAAGAGGAGGCUGUUGGAGAACUCAGGGUCAGAGUUUGCUGCUAACAACUGUGGCCCAUGAAUCCUCAAUUGUACCUCAAUCUCAUAUGUUAAGGCCCCAUCAACUGCCACCACCUGGGAAUGACAUCAGCAGUAGGAGAAUUCAGUUGGCCACAUGCCCUGUGAGCAAGCAGCUAUGA